UGAGGAGAUAAAAAGCCCUGGUCAAUAGAAUGCAGAUAACAUGAUUCAUCCUGGAAACAGGAGAGAAAAUGGCUCAAACCUCCUACUUCUCCCCAGUGGAGUUACAUAUUAAUGAAUGUGUAUGCGGAAUAUGAGUAUAUAUUUAAGAAAAAAACAAUACAGUAGCAGCAGAAAAAGAAUGUGAGCUGGUGUGGCAGAAAAUUGCUGACCGAGUCAAUGCCAACCCAACAGGCACAAAAUGUAGUUGGCAGCAACUGAAUAUAAAAAUGUCCUUCAAACAGAUUUGACCUCCAUUAUAGCCAAUACAAAAAAGGCUGAGGGACGAAAAACCGGUGGGGGCCCCCAAUCAGAACAGUAGGUGACCUAUUGCUGAAGGCGUCUCUGGAGGAAGCUCAUCUGACCCAACCACCCCCCAGAAAGGCCUACAUAAAAGGAGGAUGAUGAAGACACCUUGUCAGCUGCAACAAAGAGGGGGAAAAUACAAGCAAUUCUGUAAAUUACAAUGAGGAAGAGGGUCCAUCCACCUCCACGGUUCAACUUACCUCACUCCGUGUGAAACCACUGCAAGGUGUACUUAAGAGAAACAAAUUGAAAAAUGAAAUCUAGAAAUUGACCAAGGCUGCAGAAGCAAAAGAUAAAAAUAGAAAUACAACUGCUGGAAAAUCAGUUUUUAUGUUUGAACAACAUAAAAAAGAUUAACUACUGUCCUGCAUUUGUACUUGCAGAAAAUAAAGAAGACUUCAUGAAAAGGAAUACUG